CCAUCUUGGUUAAUUUCUAACCCAUUUAUGUGUUUAUUGACCUUUCCUUAUUUUCCCUAUUAAUUUAUUAUUGCAUGUACUUGCUAUUUGUUAUUAUUUUAUGUAAUGGAACAGUUCCUUAUUAGUGAUUAAAAUUUAUUUGUUAGAUUAACAUUGUCUGUAAUUCUUUAGAUUCUACUUAUUUGAUGCUCCGUCACUUACCUGGAUCAUUCCCACAACGUCGUCCAAUUCUUCGAUAUGCCUUGGAUACUUACUAUGGUUGCCUUCAAUCGUCUUAUAUCUGUGGCUAUAAAGCUGGUGCAUGGUGUUCCGCUAGCAGGGAGCCAUAACCUAUUUUGCACGUAGACCUUCUUUUAUGGUGAUUACUUGUUUACAAGGUUUUCGCUAUCUGUAUUGUUCGAUGAACGGUGUCACACCUCCUUUUGAUUUAUCCAUAAUAUAGUUAUAACAUUUAGUAACCUUGUAUUUUGCACUGAGACAAUUGAAACUAAUUUAUUCACUUAUUUCAGGUAGCUGUCAUACAUUGCGUUCCACGAACAACAAUCCAUAACUUAUACCUGCACGUACACUUUCUUGUGUGCUGAUCACUUGUUCACAAGGCGUUCGGUGUCUGCGUUAUUCGACGAACAGCACUAUAACAUAUACUACCGCACUACGUUGUCCAAUGAAAUCGCUUUAUUCAUUGCUUAUUUCGAUUAUGUGCCAGUUUCAACUUGUUUAAGUGCACUGUUCGCGGAAUCCCUUUUACUUCAAUCUUGACGUUUUGUUCUGCAAGAUUUCUAGCACUUUGUGUCGUCUAAUAUAUUGAUCGGAGAAU